GACGAACGCUGGCGGCGUGCUUAACACAUGCAAGUCGAGCGGUAAGGGCCCUUUCGGGGGUACACGAGCGGCGAACGGGUGAGUAACACGUGGGUGACCUGCCCUCAGCUCUGGGAUAAGCCUGGGAAACCGGGUCUAAUACCGGAUAUGACUCCAUGACGCAUGUUGUGGGGUGGAAAGCCUUGUGCGGCUGAGGAUGGGCCCGCGGCCUAUCAGCUUGUUGGUGGGGUGAUGGCCUACCAAGGCGACGACGGGUAGCCGGCCUGAGAGGGCGACCGGCCACACUGGGACUGAGACACGGCCCAGACUCCUACGGGAGGCAGCAGUGGGGAAUCUUGCGCAAUGGGCGAAAGCCUGACGCAGCGACGCCGCGUGAGGGAUGACGGCCUGGU
rnacentral:rRNA from 1 species